CCUACAAGCCUAUAAGGUCACUGAGAAAGAAAUAAAUUCCAAUAGACAACCUAGAAUCCUACUGGACCUAUGUUAUCCGAUUAGAUCCGUCCAACCGUCUAGAAUUAGAUUCUCGGCUAAUAAUUUUACAAUUGACCCUCAAACAAUUAACAUGCAUCCUACAUUCACUGAAAUUGAAGAUGCAUAUAUUUAUUCAAGGGAGUUUGAAGACACUAGAAUUACAACUUUGAUCAAUAGAAUUGAAGCCUUAGAAUUCGAAAGACAUAUUUAAUUUAACCAAGUGCUAGCACCCAUGUGCAUUGAAUGUGAUGCAUCAGAUCAUAUUGUAGAGGAGUGUCCUUAUUUGAUGAACCCAACCCAAACUGAGUUCAUAUAGGAGAGUGCAUUCAAUAAAAGCUACAUAAAUGAACCUUAUGCAUCAAUCUAUAAUCCA
rnacentral:lncRNA from 1 species